CAGGCCGGUGUCGAGCCGCGCGGCCCGCCUGCCCGACGGUUCUGAGAAAGCGCCGCGGCCCCCGCAGCCCACCCUUACCCCCGCGGCCAGCCGGGAUCCGAAAUGUCAGCGCCCCGAAACCUGUCCACGCGGAUGGCGGAGGCCGGGACCGGGUCAUUCAUCUCUGCAUCCCCAGGUCCUGCGCAGAGCUGUGAGAGAAUCAUACUGGAAGCCCCUUUGGGGAGUGAGCUAUGGUGUCACUCGGGAACGCCAGCUGUGCAACAAAAAAACGUUCCCUUUCUGCCAUCAGGAGUGGCACCAAAAGCCACGCAGCAAGUGCUAUGCUCUGAGGUGGGGCUUUCUCACAUCCACGCACUUCUGCAGUUAAUAUCAUUAAAACCCCCAGGUCUGUG